UACGUAGGUGGCAAGCGUUGUCCGGAUUUACUGGGCGUAAAGAGCGCGCAGGCGGUCGUUCAAGUCGAGUGUGAAAGCCCCCGGCUCAACUGGGGAGGGUCACUCGAUACUGAUCGACUCGAAGGCGGGAGAGGGAAGCGGAAUUCCCGGUGUAGUGGUGAAAUGCGUAGAUAUCGGGAGGAACACCAGUGGCGAAGGCGGCUUCCUGGCCCGUUCUUGACGCUGAGGCGCGAAAGCUAGGGGAGCAAACGGG
rnacentral:rRNA from 1 species